rnacentral:autocatalytically_spliced_intron from 2 species
UGCUGGAAAACCUUGUUAAGUAGUAUCUACUAGUAUAUGAUUUGUAUACUAGUAACAAAGAUACCUAAUUCGGUGGAUACGAAGCAAGGCAAUCAGCA